GACAACGUGGCCGAGUGGUUAAGGCGACAGACUCGAAUUUCCAGUUCUUGUUAUCUGUUGGGUUCGCCCGCAUAGGUUCAAAUCCUGUCGUUGUCG
rnacentral:tRNA from 1 species